AUGGAGGCCACGGAGGGAAGGCUGGCCUCGGGGACCCCACAGAGCGGCUGGAGCGCCAAGCAGGCGCGGGGAAGGCGGGCUGCCCAGGGCUCGCCGUGCUGGCCCAGGACAGGGGCUCGGGAGCCCGGGCAGGGCCAUGUCCACACCAACAGGGCUGGAACCCUGGGGCGACAGAGCUCGGCGGGGCUGCUGGGCCUUCGAGGAACGAGAUGGGCUGGGGGCCGGGAGCCUGAGGGCUUCGCUCAGCCAGAUGUGCUGCAGGCACAGGGCGGGGCUGCGGCUGAGGACGAGGCCCGGAUGGACAGCAGUGCCACACCACACGGCAUCCCUCACCUGUCCAUGCCCCCCGAGCGCCCCGAAGCCCAGUGGCCGUGCCUGCCCUUGAGCCCCUCGGGCUGCCCCUGUUCACCACCCAGCCGUCCACCCACUGAGCUCACGCAGGCAGGCCAGCCCUCAGGCCCCAUCCCAUCAGCCAGCCCGGACGUCCUGAUGAGCAAGCGAGAGCUGUCUGGGGCUGGCCGCCACCGUCCUCGAGAAGAAAGCUGGGAGCCGCACAGGGCUGGAACCCUGGGGCGGCUGCUGGGCCUUCGAGGAACGAGAUGGGCUGGGCGCCGGGAGCCUGAGGGCUUCGCUCGGCCAGAUGUGCUGCAGGCACAGGGCGGGGCUGCGGCUGAGGACGAGGCCAGGAUGGACAGAUGCGGGGGCACAACCGGCUCCACAGUGGUCGUGGGCUGCCUGGUCUCGAGCUACUUCCCUGAGCCAGUGACCGUGAACUGGAACUCGGGCGUCCCUUCCAGUGGCGUGCACACCUUCCCAUCUGUCCUCGGGUCUUCGGGGCUGUACUCCCUCAGCAGCACUGUGACCGUGCCUGCCAGCACCUCGACCGGCAAGAGCUUCACCUGCAGCAUAUACCACCCGGCCAGCAGCACCAAGGUGGACAAGCGCAUCGAGAUUGGCUCCAAAUGCACCACGUGUCCUGAAUGCCCCAAGUGUCCCAAAUGUCCAGCCCCUGAGCUCCCAGGAGGACCGUCCGUCUUCAUCUUCCCCCCGAAACCCAGAGACACCCUCACAAUAUCCAAAACACCCGAGGUCACCUGCGUUGUGGUUGACGUGAGCCACGAGGACCCCAAUGUCCAGUUCACCUGGUACGUGGACGAUGUAGAGGUGAACACGGCCAAGACGAAGCCAAAGGAGGAGCAGUUCAACAGCACGUACCGUGUGGUCAGCACCCUGCCCAUCCGGCACCAGGACUGGCUGACGGGAAAGGAGUUCAAGUGCAAGGUCAACAACAAAGGCCUCCCAGCCCCCAUCGUGAGGACCAUCUCCAAGGACAAAGGGCAGCCCCGCGAGCCGCAGGUGUACGUACUGCCCCCACCGCGGGAAGAGCUGGCCAGGAGCUCGGUCAGCUUAAGCUGCCUGGUCACCGACUUCUACCCGGGCGACAUCUACGUGGAGUGGCAGAGAAACAGACAGCCAGAGAAAGAGGACAAGUACAACACGACCCCACCACAGCUGGAGGACAACGGGUCCUUCUUCCUGUACAGCAAGCUCAGGGUGGACAAGAAGAGCUGGCAGCAGGAAGACACCUACACGUGUGUAGUUUUUCACGAGGCUCUACACAAUCACAACACGCAGAAGUCCAUCUCCCAGUCUUCGGGUAAUUGAGCCACACGGCAUUGUUGCCCCAGCCAGCCCUCCCUCCCCUUGGGCUCUCAGGGUCCAGUGAGGACCUGAGCCCCAGCCCUGUGUACGUUCCUCCGGGCGCCAUGAAAUAAAGCACCCAGCGCCGCCCUGGGACCCUGCAA